CGGAGGAUCCAAGCGUUAUCCGGAAUCAGUUGGGUUUAAAGGGUCCGUAGGCGGGUUUAUAAGUCAGUGGUGAAAGCCCAUCGCUCAACGAUGGAACGGCCAUUGAUACUGUAGAUCUUGAAUUAUUAGGAAGUAACUAGAAUAUGUAGUGUAGCGGUGAAAUGCUUAGAGAUUACAUGGAAUACCAAUUGCGAAGGCAGGUUACUACUAAUGGAUUGACGCUGAUGGACGAAAGCGUGGGUAGCGAACAGGAUUAGAUACCCUGGUAGUCCACGCCGUAAACGAUGGAUACUAGCUGUUCGGAGCAAUCUGAGUGGCUAAGCGAAAGUGAUAAGUAUCCCACCUGGGGAGUACGUUCGCAAGAAUG
rnacentral:rRNA from 1 species